AGAGCAGCAGCUUUCUGUAUGAGGUCUGCCAGGACCAACCAGAGAAAGCCAAAUAUGUAUCCUCAACUGACCACAUAGGAUGCCGUGCUUCCACUUAACCUGCCUCCAGCCAGCAACAUCAAAUCAGGGCAUACCUGAAGUCUUUCCUUUUUUCACAUUAUAAAGCUUUCACACUCUCCUGCCUGCCUUCCGAUCUCUGAAAAACACAAGUGAUGGUGGCUGACUGCUUUGCUACAGCAAGCUUUGAAUAAAUAUCCUUUGCUUGUACUCAUUUGAGUGUUCUCCAUUUAUUUCUGCUCUUGGAAUUACAGAAUUAUUAUAGGUGGUUUCAAUUAUUAAUUUAUACCCCCAAAGACUCAAGAUAUAGUCAUUUAUAAUUUUAUUAGGGCUGGGAUUUGAAUUAUACUAUUUGAGACUGAUAUAUGGCAGUUAGUGACUGCCCUGUACACACAUAUGAUUUUGCUUUUGUAUUCACACUGUGACACAUGCACCUUACUGGGGAAAUUAUAUUCUCUAGAGUGUAUUUUGGGGGAUUAUUUUGGAAGGCAUUGAACUUAACACCUUAUGUA
rnacentral:lncRNA from 1 species